rnacentral:rRNA from 1 species
GACUCGGUUGGGCGGUCCGCUUAACGGCGUGUACUGUCUGACUGGGCCUUACCUCUUGGUGAGCCAGUGUGCCCUUUAUUGGUGUGCAUUGGGGAACCAGGACUUUUACCUUGAGAAAAUUAGAGUGUUCAAAACAAGCUUAUGCUUGAAUACAUUAGCAUGGAAUAACGGAAUAGGACU